rnacentral:tRNA from 1 species
UGUGGGUCGCUCAGUGGUUAGAGCCUAGGGCUUGGGAGCGAAAGGUGGCGGGUUCAAAUCUCGCAAUAGGCAG